CACGUAGGGCGCAAGCGUUGUCCGGAAUUAUUGGGCGUAAAGAGCUCGUAGCGGUCUGUUGCGUCCGCUGUGAAAACUCGGGGCUUAACCCCCGAGCCUGCAGUGGAUACGGGCAGACUAGAGGUAGGUAGGGGAGAAUGGAAUUCCCGGUGUAGCGGUGAAAUGCGCAGAUAUCGGGAGGAACACCAAUUGCGAAGGCAGCUCGCUGGGACGUUACUGACGCUGAGACGCGAAAGCGUGGGGAGCAAACA
rnacentral:rRNA from 1 species